UACGUAGGGGGCGAGCGUUGUCCGGAUUCAUUGGGCGUAAAGAGCUCGUAGGCGGUUCGGUAAGUCAGGUGUGAAAACUCCAGGCUCAACUUGGAGACGCCACCUGAUACUGUCGUGACUAGGGUCCGGUAGGGGAGCAUGGAAUUCCUGGUGUAGCGGUGAAAUGCGCAGAUAUCAGGAGGAACACCAGCGGCGAAGGCGGUGCUCUGGGCCGGAACUGACGCUGAGGAGCGAAAGCGUGGGGAGCGAACAGG
rnacentral:rRNA from 1 species